rnacentral:rRNA from 1 species
UACGGAGGGUGCAAGCGUUAAUCGGAAUUACUGGGCGUAAAGGGUUCGUAGGUGGCCAACUAAGUCAGACGUGAAAUCCCUCAGCUUAACUGGGGAACUGCGUCUGAUACUGGUUGGCUUGAGUGCAGGAGAGGAACGCGGAAUUCCAGGUGUAGCGGUGAAAUGCGUAGAUAUCUGGAGGAACACCGGUGGCGAAGGCGGCGUUCUGGACUGCAACUGACACUGAGGAACGAAAGCCAGGGGAGCAAACGGG